GAUGAACGCUGGCGGCGUGCCUAGUACAUGCAAGUCGAGCGAACAGACGAGGAGCUUGCUCCUCUGACGUUAGCGGCGGACGGGUGAGUAACACGUGGAUAACCUACCUAUAAGACUGGGAUAACUUCGGGAAACCGGAGCUAAUACCGGAUAAUAUAUUGAACCGCAUGGUUCAAUAGUGAAAGACGGUUUUGCUGUCACUUAUAGAUGGAUCCGCGCCGCAUUAGCUAGUUGGUAAGGUAACGGCUUACCAAGGCGACGAUGCGUAGCCGACCUGAGAGGGUGAUCGGCCACACUGGAACUGAGACACGGUCCAGACUCCUACGGGAGGCAGCAGUAGGGAAUCUUCCGCAAUGGGCGAAAGCCUGACGGAGCAACGCCGCGUGAGUGAUGAAGGUCUUCGGAUCGUAAAACUCUGUUAUUAGGGAAGAACAAAUGUGUAAGUAACUGUGCACGUCUUGACGGUACCUAAUCAGAAAGCCACGGCUAACUACGUG
rnacentral:rRNA from 1 species